GAGUUUGAUCGUGGCUCAGAAUCAACGCUGGCGGCGUGCCUAACACAUGCAAGUCGAACGCGGUUAGUAGCAAUACUAACUGAGUGGCGAACGGGUGAGUAACACGUGGGUGACCUACCUUCGAGUGGGGGAUAACGUCCCGAAAGGGGCGCUAAUACCGCAUGACAUCCUGCCUUUGAACAGGUGGAGAUCAAAGCUGGGGAUCGCAAGACCCGGCGCUUGAUGAGGGGCCCGCGUCCGAUUAGCUAGUUGGUGAGGUAAUGGCUCACCAAGGCGACGAUCGGUAUCCGGCCUGAGAGGGCGGACGGACACACUGGGACUGAGACACGGCCCAGACUCCUACGGGAGGCAGCAGUGGGGAAUUGUUCACAAUGGGCGCAAGCCUGAUGACGCAACGCCGCGUGGAGGAUGAAGGUCUUCGGAUUGUAAACUCCUGUUGCCAGGGACGAACGGCUCCGACCUAAUACGUCGGAGAAUGACGGUACCUGGUGAGGAAGCCCC
rnacentral:rRNA from 1 species